AAAAAAAAAAAGGCCAUUUACCAGAAAAGAUAUGUAUAAAUCAUAAAAGCCAGCAGGUAGAGACAACCAAGUAAACCAGAAUCACACAAUGGCAUCGAAAAGCUCAUGAUUCCUAUUAAGCGUCCUCGCACUACUUGUGGCUUCUCUACUGAAGACCAUAACAUCUACCCAUUAUAUGCAUAUAUAUCCCCUCCACCGAAGCGAUUUUCCUGAAAGUUUUCUCUUCGGGACAGUGCCAUCAGCUUACCAAGUAAGCCAAUAAUAAUUUCUCAACAUUAAUUUUAUUAAUUAAUUUUGUGGAUUUUUCAGAUAUAAUAAAAGUCUAUAUAUAUUGCUUAGGUUGAUCAUUAACUCUCAGAGUAAAGCUAGUACUUUAUUAACCCCUAAGAUUAUUACUAUAAUUAGUCGGUGCUUUGUUUAACUAUAAUAAAUUAUCUUUAAAACUUAAUGACAUAAAUUAAGUAGUACUAAGCUUGGCUUAAUUUGGGAGUUUCAGUAUUAAGGGGGUGCAAGAGAAGGCGGUAGAGGACCAAGCAUAUGGGAUACUUACACACACAAAUAUCCAUGUCUUUUUCUUCUAUUUUUUCCUUAAUUAAUCUUAAUUCAUUUAUUUUUCAAUCUAGUCACCAGUUUUAAUUGAAAAAUUUUAUUGGAGUCAAGAUGCUUGAUGAAUACUAAUAUUGAGUUUAUUAUUAUUAUUUUUUUAUCAUUACAAUAAUUUUUUAACACGUAGAUGUGGACGUGAAAGGCUUGUUGACUGACUUCAUUUGACGGAAAAAAAUAAAAAAAAUAAUAAAAACCUUAUAGGGUUAGAUAGUACCUAAGAAGCUGUUUGUAUCAAAUUUCAAUACCUGACGUUUCUGGUGCGGUGCGUUGGGUUGCUGGAGUAAUUGAAAGAUGUGUCGUUUUAAAAAGAGCAGUUCUAUUUGGCAUGUCAUCCAUAUUGUUCUCAACUAUAUGGACAUCUACGACUAUGAAAAGGACAUGGUAUUCCUUUCUCUUUUAUUUUUAUUUUUAUUUUUUAUUUUUUAUUUAUUUUAAUUUUUGGUUCCUCUCUCUGUUUUUUUUUUUUUUUCUUUUUCUCCUUCUCAAAAUUUUAUUCCCAGCAGGUCAUGAAAUAAACGAAAUAAUCCAAUGCUUUGCUUUUAGUUUUCUAUUGUCCUUAAUAACACUUCACCUUCACCUUCUUUUGUGAUUGUAAGAUUAUGUUCAGCAUUAUAUUCAGAAAUAUGUGAAAUUAAAAUCUAUUUGGAGAAAAAUUGAAAAGAAUAUAACGUGAAAUGUUUUACUUUUAUGUAAAGUUAAAAAAAAAAAAAAAAAUUAAUGGUGUUGAAUCAUAUUUUUGCUACACUGUAUUAUUCAUUGGUUGAAUUGCAGAUAGAAUAAAGGAUGCAAAAUGGAGAUGUUGCUAGUGAUGCGUAUCAUCGAUUUAAGGAAGAGGUGGGAAUUAUGAAGGAAGUGAAUUUGGAUGCUUAUAGGUUCUCCAUGUUAUAGUCCAGAUUGUUACCAAAGGGAAAACUCAGUGGGGUGUGAACAAGGAAGGAAUCAAUACUAUAAUAAUCUCAUAAACGAACUCCUUGCCAAAGGCCAUCAAUUGAAUGGAUCUACAUAAUUCUUGGUUUUAUUUUUCUGCUUCCACAAAUCAUAUUAAUUUUUUUUUUUUUUUAAAUAAAUUUACAUAUACAAAUGUAGGUUUAGAGCCGUUUGUUACACUGCUUCACUGGUAUCUUUCCUAAGCUUUGGAGAAUGAGUAUGGAGGUUUCUUAAGCUCUCGCAUCGGAAUUCGGAGACAGGGUGUAACAUUGGAUCACGUUAAACAAGCCAUGGUCAUUCAGCAAAGGCAAGUAUGGCACCAGGAAGAUGUUCACAAUCGCAAAAUCUAAAGUGCAAUGGUGGGGACUCAGGGGUUGAGCCUUAUUUGGGGCACAUAACCAGCUUCUUGCUCAUGCUGCAGCAGUCGAGCUUUACAACGACAAGUUUCACGUCAAAGCUGAAGUUAAUUCACUCCUCCUAAUUGAUUUAUAUAGUAUCAGAAAAGCAUACAGAUAGAAUAAGAUUAUAUUUAAUAAAAAAAUAUUUAGUGUUAUAAUGUUGAACAUAUGUACAUGUACAAGUGCAUGCCCUGCAUGCCUCUCAAAAGGGGCCUGAUAGGGAUAACAAUGAUAUCACAUUGGAUGGUUCCAUUUUCUGAUGCAAAGCACGAUCAAAUGCUGCAUUUCGAGCCCUUGAUUUCAUAUUUGGAUGGCAUAAUAAGAAAAUUUUCGUAAUUUUAAUUAAUAUUAAAAAUAGUUGUACUAAAAACAUCAAUAAAAACUUAAUUUAGUAG